rnacentral:rRNA from 1 species
UACGAAGGGGGCUAGCGUUGUUCGGAAUUACUGGGCGCAAAGCGCACGUAGGCGGACUAUUAAGUCAGGGGUGAAAUCCCGGGGCUCAACCCCGGAACUGCCUUUGAUACUGGUAGUCUCGAGUCCGGAAGAGGUGAGUGGAAUUCCGAGUGUAGAGGUGAAAUUCGUAGAUAUUCGGAGGAACACCAGUGGCGAAGGCGGCUCACUGGUCCGGUACUGACGCUGAGGUGCGAAAGCGUGGGGAGCAAACAGG